UACGGGGGGGGCAAGCGUUGUUCGGAAUUACUGGGCGUAAAGGGCUCGUAGGUGGUCAACUAAGUUCGGACGUGAAAUCCCUCGGCUUAACCGGGGAACUGCGUCCGAUACUGGAUGACUUGAGUUCGGGAGAGGGAUGCGGAAUUCCAGGUGUAGCGGUGAAAUGCGUAGAUAUCUGGAGGAACACCAAUUGCGAAAGGCAGCUCGCUGGGACGUUACUGACGCUGAGACGCGAAAGCGUGGGGAGCAAACAG
rnacentral:rRNA from 1 species